GCAGUGAUGUGGAGCUAAACUGAAAAAAGUAAGUCUCAGUUCGGAUUGAAGGCUGAAAUUCGCCUUCAUGAAGCCGGAAUUGCUAGUAAUGGCAGGUCAGCAUACUGCCGUGAAUACGUUCCCGGGCCUUGUACACACCGCCCGUCACACCAUGAGAGUUGGGAAUACCCGAAGCCUGUGAGCUAACUAUACGAGGCAGCAGUCGAAGGUAGAAUCAAUGAUUGGGGUGAAGUCGUAACAAGGUACC
rnacentral:rRNA from 1 species